AUGAAGAUGAGGUGCCAGGCAUGCCAAGGCAUGCAGUCCCAGCUAACUGGCGUCAUGAAGAGGUCCCUAAUUUUAAACACAGUGAACCAGCAGGGGCAGGCUGUGCAGGAACUGAUUACAUACAGGACCACUUUCAUCACUAGAGGACUACCAAUUUGCAUGCCACACUGGAGUCCCAGACCCUGGAGUUGGGAGGAUAAACAAACUCUGGUAGGCAUCAGAGUGAAUAGCAGUGGUGCUCUCCAUAGGGAUAUGGAAGAGCUCUGCACUAUACCUCAGGAGGUAUUCUAGUUCUGGCCCUGACUCUUAACUAUCUUUGUUAUCUGGGUCCUUGGGCAUCUGUUACACCACUAUACUGCAAGCACCAGGACAAGAAGUUGGCUCAGGGUCCCCUUAUUCCAUUCAACAAACAUUUGUUAAAUGAUUGCCACAUACAAGAUACUGGAGAUCCAAAGGCAAAACAGUCUAUCCUUGAGCACUAAGUUUCUAUGAAUCUAUGAUCAAAUGGCACUUAGCAUCCUAUCUCAACUAAACCUGUCUGAAAUCUCUCAGAUUUUUUUCCCCUUCCUAUUUAUUCUUUGGGGCUAGGAUGCUCCAGCCUAAGAGUCUUUCCAAAAAGAUGUGGUAUUCCACAUUCAGUCAUGUUCCACUCGAGGUGUUCUUCUCAAAAAUACUGGAGUAGUUUGCCAUUUCCUUCUCCAGCUCCUUUUACAGAUGAGGAAACCGAGGCAAACAGGGUUAAGUGGCCUGUCCCAGGUCACACAGCAAGUAAGCAUCUGAGGCCAGAUUUGAACUCAAGAAGAUGAGUCUCUCUGACUGCCAGACCUGGCACUUUAUCCACUGUGCCAUCCUGCUACUACUGUACUCCAUACAACAUGGCAAAGGACUCAUGCUUUCUGUGGUGCCCUCUCCUCUCCAAAACAAGAAGAAAGAGAUCUAAUUUGACUGCUAAACUCAAGGAGGUACAUUGAGAACAAUGAGGUAGAGGCAACUUGCUUCAGGAGAGAGAACUCUUUAUUUGGAGUCAGAACACCUGGGUACAAAUCAUAUUUACUCCCAUUCUACACCAGUGUGACUUCAGGGGAAUCAUUUCUACUUUCUAAAUUGUUUAUUCUAUAAAAUGAGGGAGUUAGAUUGGACUAGAUGGCUUCAAAGGUCCCUUCCAACUCUAAAUCUAUGAUCCCAUAAGGUUCCUUUCUUUCUCAUACUUCUGCUCCUUGAGUGCCAAUUUUUCCCACAUAGAUGCCUUGACUAAGAGGGGCUAAUGUUAGGAACAGCAAUUGGCACAUUCAUAAAUUAGAGUUCUUCUCAUAGUUUUCAUUAUUUAUUAGUUUACCAAACUAAAUAGCUUCUGAAUAUUAAAUCAAACAUCCUAGUAGAAAUCCAAUUGCAUUAUUCUUUCCCAACAGACAUUAAAAGACUAAAGAAGGUAGAAAAGCUGGAUUCAAACAGAUUAUGAAGUCAUAAGUCAUUGAUUCUAGAACCCAAAUGGAAUUUAGAAGACAUUAGGUCCAAGUCUCCGAUGUAACAGAUAAGAAACCCAGAGAACUGAAAAGAUUGAUCCAAGUUCACACACAUAGUUAGUGACAGAGGCAAGCUUUGAACCAAAGUCCCCUGAAUCCAAAUCAAUUGCCUUUAACAAUAUACUUAUAAAGUAGACAUGAGAUAUAUAGAUAUAUAUAUAUAUACACAUAUGUAUGUGAAUAUAUAUUUAUUUGCUACUUUAAAGUAUAUUCUAAUAUAGUAUAUAUUUAAAUAUAUAUAUUUAUUGGUAUUAUAUAUAGUACAUAAUAAACACAUACCAUACAUGCUGAAAUAGAUUUAG
rnacentral:lncRNA from 1 species